AACCCAUGUUGUAGGCACUUCCGCAAAAGGUCCUUGAACCGUUCGCAAGUCUCAAACAAAGUUUCAAGCUCCAUCUGAACAAAUAAAGAUAUAUCAUUACGAAGCUU